UACGUAGGGUGCGAGCGUUGUCCGGAAUUAUUGGGCGUAAAGAGCUCGUAGGCGGUGUGUCACGUCGAUCGUGAAAACUUACAGCUUAACUGUGAGCGUGCGGUCGAUACGGGCAUCACUGGAGUUCGGCAGGGGAGACUGGAAUUCCUGGUGUAGCGGUGGAAUGCGCAGAUAUCAGGAGGAACACCGGUGGCGAAGGCGGGGUCUCUGGGCAGUAACUGACGCUGGAGGAGCGAAAGCGUGGGGAGCGAACAGG
rnacentral:rRNA from 1 species